CCUACGGGAGGCAGCAGUCGAGAAUCAUUCACAAUGGGGGAAACCCUGAUGGUGCGACGCCGCGUGGGGGAAUGAAGGUCUUCGGAUUGUAAACCCCUGUCAUGUGGGAGCAAAUUAAAAAGAUAGUACCACAAGAGGAAGAGACGGCUAACUCUGUGCCAGCAGCCGCGGUAAUACAGAGGUCUCAAGCGUUGUUCGGAAUCACUGGGCGUAAGGCGUGCGUAGGCUGUUUCGUAAGUCGGGUGUGAAAGGCGCGGGCUCAACCCGCGGACGGCACAUGGAACUGCGAGACUAGAGUAAUGGAGGGGGAACCGGAAUUCUCGGUGUAGCAGUGAAAUGCGUAGAUAUCGAGAGGAACACUCGUGGCGAAGGCGGGUUCCUGGACAUUAACUGACGCUGAGGCACGAAGGCCAGGGGAGCGAAAGGGAUUAGAUACCCCUGUAGUC
rnacentral:rRNA from 1 species